rnacentral:rRNA from 1 species
AUUGAACGCUGGCGGCAGGCCUAACACAUGCAAGUCGAACGGUAACAGGAAGAAGCUUGCUUCUUUGCUGACGAGUGGCGGACGGGUGAGUAAUGUCUGGGAAACUGCCUGAUGGAGGGGGAUAACUACUGGAAACGGUAGCUAAUACCGCAUAACGUCGCAAGACCAAAGAGGGGGACCUUCGGGCCUCUUGCCAUCGGAUGUGCCCAGAUGGGAUUAGCUAGUAGGUGGGGUAACGGCUCACCUAGGCGACGAUCCCUAGCUGGUCUGAGAGGAUGACCAGCCACACUGGAACUGAGACACGGUCCAGACUCCUACGGGAGGCAGCAGUGGGGAAUAUUGCACAAUGGGCGCAAGCCUGAUGCAGCCAUGCCGCGUGUAUGAAGAAGGCCUUCGGGUUGUAAAGUACUUUCAGCGGGGAGGAAGGGAGUAAAGUUAAUACCUUUGCUCAUUGACGUUCCCCGCAGAAGAAGCACCGGCUAACUCCGUG